AUGCAGCGUUGAUAUGUCUGAUAUUCUUGGGUUGUGCAGUGUCAACCAGUAUCUCAGACGUAUCGGCCACUGUGUAUUG
rnacentral:pre_miRNA from 1 species